GGAAGAAAACGAGAAGGGACGGACAAACACAGACUUCCAACUGGCAACUGGUAAAGGUUGCCAGUUGGAAGUCUGUGUUUGUCCGUCCCUUCUCGUUUUCUUCC
rnacentral:pre_miRNA from 1 species